rfam:Enterococcus rotai strain LMG 26678 genome.
AAAUGAAAGCAGAAGCACCCGCUUCUCGCCUUAGUUGACAGUGUCACUGGGCUGGAUAUUGGAUUCUUUAUAUCGAUUGAUAUGAGUCCGAAAAUCGCGGGAUCUGUAUACAGAGCCUGUUUUUUAUUGUGUU